rnacentral:lncRNA from 1 species
AUCUCUUGCUUCACAAUCACUUUGCUCAUUGUGUGAGGACUUUGAGCUUGAAGUCUUUAGAGUAGUAGACUUCUUCUCUACCUCAUUGUCUUUAUCUUUCUCCUUCUUUACCUUCUUCUCAUCCUUUUUUUCAUUUUUUUCCAAGUAAGUGAGUUCUUGCUCACGUUUUUCUAAUUUUUCAACCAAAGUUGUGAGAUCAAGUCUUUCAAGAUCAUUCGCCUCUUUGAUUGCGGUGA